rnacentral:rRNA from 1 species
GACGAACCGUGCGAACGUUGUUCGGAAUCACUGGGCUUAAAGGGCGCGUAGGCGGGCCGACAAGUCCGGGGUGAAAGCCCCCAGCUUAACUGGGGAAGCGCCUUGGAUACUGCCGGUCUGGAGGGAGGUAGGGGCGUGCGGAACUUCCGGUGGAGCGGUGAAAUGCGUAGAUAUCGGAAGGAACACCGGUGGCGAAAGCGGCGCGCUGGACCUCUUCUGACGCUGAGGCGCGAAAGCCAGGGGAGCAAACGGG